UACGUAGGGAGCAAGCGUUGUUCGGAUUUACUGGGCGUAAAGGGCGCGUAGGCGGCAGAUCAAGUCAGUUGUGAAAUCUCUGAGCUUAACUCAGAACUGUCAACUGAUACUGCUCUGCUAGAGUGCGGAAGGGGCAAUCGGAAUUCUUGGUGUAGCGGUGAAAUGCGUAGAUAUUCGGAAGAACACCAGUGGCGAAGGCGACUCACUGGACACGUAUUGACGCUGAGGUGCGAAAGCGUGGGGAGCAAACAGG
rnacentral:rRNA from 1 species